GAUGAACGCUGGCGGCGUGCCUAAUACAUGCAAGUCGAGCGAACAGACGAGGAGCUUGCUCCUCUGACGUUAGCGGCGGACGGGUGAGUAACACGUGGAUAACCUACCUAUAAGACUGGGAUAACUUCGGGAAACCGGAGCUAAUACCGGAUAAUAUAUUGAACCGCAUGGUUCAAUAGUGAAAGACGGUUUUGCUGUCACUUAUAGAUGGAUCCGCGCCGCAUUAGCUAGUUGGUAAGGUAACGGCUUACCAAGGCAACGAUGCGUAGCCGACCUGAGAGGGUGGUCGGCCGCAGAGGAAAUGCGACGACAUCGAGACUGAGCAGGGAGCCAGAAGUAGGGAGGCUGCAGCAGUGGGCGAAAGUGUAAAAGGGCAACGCGGCUGGAGAGAGAAAGGUGUGCGGAUGAAAAAAAUCUGUGAUUAGGAAAGAACAAAUGUGUAAGAAACAAUGCGCGUCAUGAUGAGAAGUAAUCAGAAAGCAACUGCUAACAAG
rnacentral:rRNA from 1 species